rnacentral:lncRNA from 1 species
UGACCAUCUAAUUAGUGUUAGUUUUCUUGCUGAGAACUUAUGGUUAACUUUCAUGGACAGCCAUUGCCUCCCGGAGUUGAUCCACUGCCACAUACGUCUUCAGCUUCUGCUUCAAUGAAUCCUUCAGUUUCUUAUCUUCCUCCACCUUCUGUGAACAUGCAUCAUGAUGGACAUCCUAACAACUCAGGAAGCCUCUUCCCUCUUAAUCCAUCUAAUCCAUCCUUUCCUAAAGCUCAAAGCCAGUGUCCUCACGUACAACCACCUUCCCAGUUUGUAUGUUCACCUGGUAGACUUCCUACACCAGCUGCUCAAAGUGUACCUGCUCAAGCAUCCUAUAGUUCUUCUCAUGGCAC